UACAGAGGUCCCGAGCGUUGUUCGGAUUCACUGGGCGUAAAGGGUGCGCAGGCGGCCGUGUGUGUGAGGCGUGAAAGCCCGGGGCUUAACCCCGGAAUUGCACCUCAAACUACAUGGCUAGAGCAUUGGAGAGGGUAGCGGAAUUCACGGUGUAGCAGUGAAAUGCGUAGAUAUCGUGAGGAACACCAGAGGCGAAGGCGGCUACCUGGACAAUUGCUGACGCUCAGGCACGAAAGCGUGGGGAGCAAAAGGG
rnacentral:rRNA from 1 species